rnacentral:rRNA from 1 species
UACGAGGGGGGCAAGCGUUGUUCGGAAUUACUGGGCGUAAAGCGCGCGCAGGCGGUUCUCCAAGUCAGUGGUGAAAGCCCGGAGCUCAACUCCGGAAAUGCCAUUGAAACUGUUGAACUUGAGGACGAGAGAGGUGAGUGGAAUUCCCAGUGUAGAGGUGAAAUUCGUAGAUAUUGGGAAGAACACCGGUGGCGAAGGCGGCUCACUGGCUCGUAUCUGACGCUCAGGCGCGAUAGCGUGGGGAUCAAACAGG